GAGCUAUCGUACAAGGUAGCUUGCGUUUGGCAGCCCACACGUAACUGCUUGAUUCACUGGUUAGACGAUUGGGUCUGUAGCUCAGUUGGUUAGAGCGCACCCCUGAUAAGGGUGAGGUCGGCAGUUCGAAUCUGCCCAGACCCACCAAUUGUUGGUGUGCUGCGUGAUCCGAUACGGGGCCAUAGCUCAGCUGGGAGAGCGCCUGCUUUGCACGCAGGAGGUCAGGAGUUCGAUCCUCCUUGGCUCCACCAUCUAAACAAUCGUCGAAAGCUCAGAAAUGAAUGUUCGUGAAUGAACAUUGAUUUCUGGUCUUUGCACCAGAACUGUUCUUUAAAAAUUCGGGUAUGUGAUAGAAGUAAGACUGAAUGAUCUCUUUCACUGGUGAUCAUUCAAGUCAAGGUAAAAUUUGCGAGUUCAAGCGCGAAUUUUCGGCGAAUGUCGUCUUCACAGUAUAACCAGAUUGCUUGGGGUUAUAUAUGGUGCUA
rnacentral:tRNA from 1 species